rnacentral:rRNA from 1 species
GAUGAACGCUAGCGGCAGGCUUAAUACAUGCAAGUCGUGGGGCAGCAGGACUGUAGCAAUACAGUUGCUGGCGACCGGCAAACGGGUGCGGAACACGUACGCAACUUACCCUGAACUGGGGGAUAGCCCGGGGAAACCCGGAUUAAUACCCCGUAAUAUACUGGAGUGGCAUCCCUUUAUUAUUAAAGCUCCGGCGGUUCGGGAUGGGCGUGCGGCUGAUUAGGUAGUUGGUUGAGGUAACGGCUCACCAAGCCUACGAUCAGUAACUGGUGUGAGAGCACGACCAGUCACACGGGCACUGAGACACGGGCCCGACUCCUACGGGAGGCAGCAGUAAGGAAUAUUGGGCAAUGGAGGCAACUCUGACCCAGCCAUGCCGCGUGGAGGAUGAAGGCCCUCUGGGUUGUAAACUUCUUUUAUAGGGGAAGAAACCUGUGUAUUCUUACGCAGUUGACGGUACCCUAGGAAUAAGCACCGGCUAACUCCGUG